UACGUAGGGUGCAAGCGUUGUCCGGAAUUAUUGGGCGUAAGGAGCGUGUAGGCGGUCCGGUAAGUCAGCUGUGAAAGUCAAGGGCUCAACCCUUGAAAGCCGGUUGAUACUGUCGGGCUAGAGUCCGGAAGAGGCGAGUGGAAUUCCCGGUGUAGCGGUGAAAUGCGCAGAUAUCGGGAGGAACACCAAUGGCGAAGGCAGCUCGCUGGGACGGUACUGACGCUGAGACGCGAAAGCGUGGGGAGCGAACAGG
rnacentral:rRNA from 1 species